UACGAAGGGUGCUAGCGUUGUUCGGAAUCACUGGGCGUAAAGCGCGCGUAGGCGGCUUUGCAAGUCAGGGGUGAAAUGCCACAGCUCAACUGUGGAACUGCCUUUGAAACUGCAAAGCUAGAGUGUCGGAGGGGAUAGCGGAAUUCCUAAUGUAGAGGUGAAAUUCGUAGAUAUUAGGAGGAACACCGGUGGCGAAGGCGGCUAUCUGGACGACAACUGACGCUUAGGCGCGAAAGUGCGGGGAUCAAACAGG
rnacentral:rRNA from 1 species